AAUACUUAGUUAAUUAUUAGAUUCAACAAUAAUUGAAGAGGACAUAGAGGAUUUACAAGCAAAACAAUCUGCCAAAUCUACCUCAUCUUGUGACUGCUGCAGUUCCUGCUUGAGGAGCCACAACGAGCUCCCACAUAACUCAACAACGACACAUCGUAUAAAGUAUGCCCUCUCCUGCCCGCCCCAUGGAAAAUUUGGAGAUUGUCUCACAUGGGUAGUGUUUGGCCUGGCUUCCUGGGGCUGCCUCAUCUGUGUUACAUGGGAGAUGGCUCUUCCUGGCGGAAAGUUAUUUAGUCUCCUCUUACUGUAUGUGAUGGCGCUGCUGGCUGGGAUGAUGGCCGACUUUGUAGGCCUACCGUCGUUACUUGGCAGCUUGGUAAUGGGAAUACUUUUCAGCAGUAUUCCUGGGAUAAAGGCUGUUGGACAUAAUAUUGAUAUCUAUUAUUCGUCUGUUCUGAAGGACAUUGCACUUACAAUUAUAUUAAUACGUGCUGGACUCGGACUGGAUCCCGUCGCCCUCAAGAAGUUAAGUUGCACUGUACUACGCUUGGCGCUCUUUCCUUCUUUAGUAGAAACAAUUACAAUAGGUACUGCAUCAGUGUUCUUCCUUGAUCUUCCCUGGAGUUGGAGUCUUAUGC